UACAGAGGGUGCGAGCGUUAAUCGGAAUUACUGGGCGUAAAGCGUGCGUAGACGGUUAUGUAAGUCGGAUGUGAAAGCCCCGGGCUCAACCUGGGAAUUGCAUUCGAAACUGCAUGGCUAGGGUGCGGAAGAGGGAAGCGGAAUUUCUGGUGUAGCGGUGAAAUGCGUAGAUAUCAGAAGGAACAUCAGUGGCGAAAGCGGCUUCCUGGUCCAGCACCGACGUUCAGGCACGAAAGCGUGGGGAGCAAACAGG
rnacentral:rRNA from 1 species